GGAAAGUAUGGUGGCAGUGAGAGAGCGCAAAAAAGAACCCACUUCCUUCUUUCAAUCACCAGCGUAUCACGUGUGUGAAGCUUUUAAUUUAAAUUUUUCAUACACUACUUUAUGCUGGCGGAAGUUCCGGUUGCGGCGCUGUUCGCGGGGACCGUCGAGAUUGUGGCUUGUUUAAAUAUUUAACUACGCGCAAUGAAAGUUGUGGCAUUUUAACUUUGGCCGUAAUGGAUAGCGAGGUA